CCAGGAUGACAUUGAAAAUGUGUUGCAAUUUGGCGUGCUUCGCUCCAUAGAUUUUGUAUUCGAGAAAUCUUUGGAGUGUUGAACGUCACAUUUUGACACAAAUAUUCGUCAGGAUAUUUU
rnacentral:precursor_RNA from 15 species